GCUUUGGAGGAAAUCAGUGGCACCAACCCACUGUGCUAAAGCAAAGGUCAUCAGCAGUCACGCUGGUUUUAUAUUGUCUUUGUAUUAUCUUGUGAUUCAUCUUCUCAGGUUGCAUGACCACAGUCACUUUUACCCAGCCAAGUUCUGCCCAGGCAAAGCCAGGGAGUUCUAUUACUCUGGCUUGUGUUGUCUCUGGAUAUAAUAUCGGUGACCAUCAUUUGAGCUGGAUCUGACAAGCCCCUGGGAAAAGUCUGGUCUGGCUAGCAGCUUUCAGAACAGUUUACACAACCUACAUCGCGGAUGAGUUCAAAGGACGGGUCACCCCCUCCACCAGCGGCUCCACUGCUAGGCUAAAGAUAGAGAGUCUCAUAGCUGCAGACACCGCUACUUACUACUGUGCCAGAAAUACACAGUGGUCGCUGCCUGGCUUCCUCUCCGACAAUAUCCCUUGUGGAACUGGCCUCCUCUCACUUAGCCCAUCUCUGUCUUGCAUGAACUUCUCUCCGGGGCAUAAGGAAAAUAAAAGGCCCAUGCGUCAUUGGAGUCCCACAUCAGUCCUCAGAGUGUGGGUCCCUUGGGGGACAGGCCUUGCUCUGCUGCCUCUCCAAAGGGUUGGAUUUUACCCAGAGAGAUUUAGGGUUUUGGUCUUUGCAAUUUUAAUGUCUGUUCUUCAAAUGGAAUCGGGAUCGGGAAGCAGCAUGGUCUGCUGAUCAGGCCACUGCAGGGGGAAUCAGGAAAUUUUAGUUCUGUUCUUGGUUGUGACAUUGAUCUACAAUGUGAAGUCAAGCCAGUGACUACCCCAGUCUCUGAUUCCUUUGUCAGGCUUACCUGUUUAAAGUGAAACCUCUUGAGUGCAAGGCCUGUCUCCUGUGGUGUGUAUGGGCAGCACCUCGCACACUGGAACCCUGUGUGUUGGCACCCUUAAGGUGUU